rnacentral:rRNA from 1 species
GAUGAACGCUGGCGGCGUGCCUAAUACAUGCAAGUCGAGCGAACGGACGAGAAGCUUGCUUCUCUGAGGUUAGCGGCGGACGGGUGAGUAACACGUGGAUAACCUACCUAUAAGACUGGGAUAACUUCGGGAAACCGGUGCUAAUACCGGCUAAUAUUUUGAACCGCAUGGUUCAAAAGUGAAAGACGGUUUUGCUGUCACUUAUAGAUGGAUCCGCGCUGCAUUAGCUAGUUGGUAAGGUAACGGCUUACCAAGGCAACGAUGCAUAGCCGACCUGAGAGGGUGAUCGGCCACACUGGAACUGAGACACGGGCCAGACUCCUACGGGAGGCAGCAGUAGGGAAUCUUCCGCAAUGGGCGAAAGCCUGACGGAGCAACGCCGCGUGAGUGAUGAAGGUCUUCGGAUCGUAAAACUCUGUUAUUAGGGAAGAACAAAUGUGUAAGUAACUGUGCACAUCUUUACGGUACCUAAUCAGAAAGCCACGGCUAACUACGUG